UCCGUUGGCUUGGGGACUCCCAAAA
rnacentral:piRNA from 1 species